GUGUUUUUGCUUUGACAACACAUAUACUAAAACUGGAACAAUACGGAAAGAAUUGGCAUGACUCCUACACAUAGAUGACAUACAAAUUUGUGAAGUAUUCCAUAUGCUU